GACGAACGCUGGCGGCGUGCUUAACACAUGCAAGUCGAGCGGAGCGGCGAACGGGUGAGUAACGCGUGAGUAACUGCCCCCCUCUCUGGGAUAACAGUUGGAAACGGCUGCUAAUACCGGAUAGUGGGGGAUGACUCGGGUCCUAUCAGCUUGUUGGUGGGGUAGUGGCCAACCAGGGCGACGACGGGUAGCCGGCCUGAAAGGGCGACCGGACACAUUGGGCUAAGGUACGACACAAACGCCUGCGGGGGACAACAGUGAGGAAUAUUGCACAAUGGGGGAGACCCGGAUGCAGCAACGCCGCGUGCGAGAUGACGGCCUUCGGGUUGUAAACCGCUUUCAGCCAUGACGCGGUAGUGGCAAAAGAAGCACCGGCUAACUACGUGCCAGCAGCCGCGGUAAUUC
rnacentral:rRNA from 1 species